AUAAGAGCAUGCCUAUGGGUGAAAACAUGCAUUGCGUUCCUCUUUUUGAGUGUGAGUGUUGCAUCUGAUUCCUGAUCUUGAAUUGAUUAACCUUUGUGUGUGAAUAUGGAAUCAUUCUUUAUGUGAGAGCAUUUAGAUACUUUUUGUUGAGCUUGAACUUGCACAAGUAGCAAGUAUUGCGAGCAUGAAAAUCUUUGGUAAUAGUGUAUCACAACAUGAAUCUUUGA
rnacentral:lncRNA from 1 species